rnacentral:lncRNA from 1 species
CCAUAAUGUGUUCUUUUGAUUAUAUUAGGGUUCAUCGGUGACUGACGGUAUUAUCCGGAAGGAUAUUUUGGAUAUUAUUUUACGUAAAUAGGUGAGUGUUUCUUGUUUGUUAUGUUUUCUUGAUUAUAUGGCUUGUAUGAAUGAUUGAUAACAUGUUAAAUGCGUUCAAUGAUUGCCAAAACGAGUUUUCUAGACGAGUGUGUACUUUAUCGUACUCGACCUAAAUGAAUGUGGAAUUUUCAAUAAUCCAAUGAUUGAAACGUUACUUAUGCAUGAAUGUAAGCCUUUUGGCUGAACUGGGCUCUGCCUUUCGUUGCCGAUCGACUCGAGCCAGAAGCGGACUCGGUCAGGCGAUUUGGUGACCUUGGGUGAAUGUUUGGUAUACUCGAGUAUUACCUUGUAGUUUGGUGGAGUCCAGCCAACGUCUGGAAGGGGGUGAAUGAAAUAAAUGAACGAUUGAUAUUGCAAAUGAGGGGUUUUACUUACAAAAAUACAUUUUCAAAUGAUUUGAGGAAAAAGGGAAUGAAAGGAGAAUGAAUGAACGAAUGAAUGAAUGGCUCCUUGUGAGCACGUAUCCUUUUAAUAAAUGUGUUAUUAUUGCUUUCCAUUGUCAAUGUCUUUUGAAUUAUUGGUUAUCUAUGGUUAAUGCAUUAGCUUUAUUGUUUGAUUGUGUGUUUGGAACCUCAUUGAGCUUUUAGUUCAUUCUAUUAGUUUUGUUUUUCUUAACAGGGGAUGCAAGUAAGGACGACAGAUCUGUACAGGCUAGCCUAAUCUAGUUCUUUUGAAUUUUUGUAAUGGUUCUCGCCCUAGUGCUUGAAUAUGGUUGGUUGUAUUAAGAACUGAGAACUUUCAUUUUA